GACGAACGCUGGCGGCGUGCCUAAUACAUGCAAGUCGAGCGAGUCUGCCUUGAAGAUCGGCGUGCUUGCACUCUGUGAAACAAGAUACAGGCUAGCGGCGGACGGGUGAGUAACACGUGGGUAACCUGCCCAAGAGAUCGGGAUAACACCUGGAAACAGAUGCUAAUACCGGAUAACAACAGAUGAUGCCUAUCCACUGUUUAAAAGAUGGUUCUGCUAUCACUCUUGGAUGGACCUGCGGUGCAUUAGCUAGUUGGUAGGGUAACGGCCUACCAAGGCGAUGAUGCAUAGCCGAGUUGAGAGACUGAUCGGCCACAUUGGGACUGAGACACGGCCCAAACUCCUACGGGAGGCAGAGGUAGAGAAUCUUCCACAAUGGACGCAAGUCUGAUGGAGCAACGCCGCGUGAGUGAAGAAGGGUUUCGGCUCGUAAAGAUCUGUUGUUGGAGAAGAAGGACAGGGGUAGUAACUGACCGUUGUUUGACGGUAAUCAAUUAGAGAGACACGGCUAACUAAGUG
rnacentral:rRNA from 1 species